CGUGAGGGGCGAACGUUGUUCGGUGUCACUGGGCUUAAAGGGCGCGUAGGUGGCUGUGCAAGUAAGGUGUGAAAGCCCUCGGCUUACCCGGGGAAUUGCGCCUUAAACUGCAUGGCUUGAGGGAUUCAGGGGAAUGGGGAACUCCAGGUGUAGCGGUGAAAUGCGCAGAUAUCUGGGGGAAGGCCGGCGGCGAAGGCGCCAUUCUGGGAAUUUCCUGACACUGAGGCGCGAAAGCGUGGGGAGCAAACAGGAUUAGAUACCCUGGUAGUCCACGCCCUAAACGAUGGAUACUAAGUAGGGGACCCUACAAGGGGUUCCUUGCCGGAGCGAAAGCGUUAAGUAUCCCGCCUGGGGAGUAUGGUCGCAAGGCUG
rnacentral:rRNA from 1 species